AGAGUUUGAUCCUGGCUCAGAUUGAACGCUGGCGGCAGGCUUAACACAUGCAAGUCGAGCGGUAACAGAAAGUAGCUUGCUAUUUUGCUGACGAGCGGCGGACGGGUGAGUAAUGCCUAGGAAUCUGCCUAGUAGUGGGGGAUAACUUGCCGAAAGGUAAGCUAAUACCGCAUACGUCCUACGGGAGAAAGCAGGGGACCUUCGGGCCUUGCGCUAUUAGAUGAGCCUAGGUCGGAUUAGUUAGUUGGUGAGGUAAUGGCUCACCAAGACCGCGAUCCGUAACUGGUCUGAGAGGAUGAUCAGUCACACUGGAACUGAGACACGGUCCAGACUCCUACGGGAGGCAGCAGUGGGGAAUAUUGGACAAUGGGGGAAACCCUGAUCCAGCCAUGCCGCGUGUGUGAAGAAGGUCUUAGGAUUGUAAAGCACUUUAAGUUGGGAGGAAGGGCAGUUAACUAAUAUUUGACUGUUUUGACGUUACCGACAGAAUAAGCACCGGCUAACUUCGUGCCAGCAGCCGCGGUAAUACGAAGGGUGCAAGCGUUAAUCGGAAUUACUGGGCGUAAAGCGCGCGUAGGUGGUUCGUUAAGUUAGGAGUGAAAGCCCCGGGCUCAACCUGGGAAUUGCUUCUAAAACUGGCGGGCUAGAGUAUGGUAGAGGGUGGUGGAAUUUCCUGUGUAGCGGUGAAAUGCGUAGAUAUAGGAAGGAACAUCAGUGGCGAAGGCGACCACCUGGACUGAUACUGACACUGAGGUGCGAAAGCGUGGGGAGCAAACAGGAUUAGAUACCCUGGUAGUCCACGCCGUAAACGAUGUCAACUAGUUGUUGGGUUCCUUGAGGACUUAGUAACGCAGCCAACGCAUUAAGUUGACCGCCUGGGGAGUACGGCCGCAAGGUUAAAACUCAAAUGAAUUGACGGGGGCCCGCACAAGCGGUGGAGCAUGUGGUUUAAUUCGAAGCUACGCGAAGAGCCUUACCUGGCCUUGACAUGCUGAGAACUUUCUAGAGAUAGAUUGGUGCCUUCGGGAACUCAGACACAGGUGGUGCAUGGUUGUCGUCAGCUCGUGUCGUGAGAUGUUGGGUUAAGUCCCGCAACGAGCGCAACCC
rnacentral:rRNA from 1 species